AGAGUUUGAUCCUGGCUCAGGAUGAACGCUGGCGGCGUGCUUAACACAUGCAAGUCGAACGGUGAAGCAGGAGCUUGCUCUUGUGGAUCAGUGGCGAACGGGUGAGUAACACGUGAGCAACCUGCCCCUGACUCUGGGAUAAGCGCUGGAAACGGCGUCUAAUACUGGAUAUGUGACGUGACCGCAUGGUCUGCGUUUGGAAAGAUUUUUCGGUUGGGGAUGGGCUCGCGGCCUAUCAGCUUGUUGGUGAGGUAAUGGCUCACCAAGGCGUCGACGGGUAGCCGGCCUGAGAGGGUGACCGGCCACACUGGGACUGAGACACGGCCCAGACUCCUACGGGAGGCAGCAGUGGGGAAUAUUGCACAAUGGGCGAAAGCCUGAUGCAGCAACGCCGCGUGAGGGAUGACGGCCUUCGGGUUGUAAACCUCUUUUAGCAGGGAAGAAGCGAAAGUGACGGUACCUGCAGAAAAAGCGCCGGCUAACUACGUGCCAGCAGCCGCGGUAAUACGUAGGGCGCAAGCGUUAUCCGGAAUUAUUGGGCGUAAAGAGCUCGUAGGCGGUUUGUCGCGUCUGCUGUGAAAUCCCGAGGCUCAACCUCGGGCCUGCAGUGGGUACGGGCAGACUAGAGUGCGGUAGGGGAGAUUGGAAUUCCUGGUGUAGCGGUGGAAUGCGCAGAUAUCAGGAGGAACACCGAUGGCGAAGGCAGAUCUCUGGGCCGUAACUGACGCUGAGGAGCGAAAGGGUGGGGAGCAAACAGGCUUAGAUACCCUGGUAGUCCACCCCGUAAACGUUGGGAACUAGUUGUGGGGUCCAUUCCACGGAUUCCGUGACGCAGCUAACGCAUUAAGUUCCCCGCCUGGGGAGUACGGCCGCAAGGCUAAAACUCAAAUGAAUUGACGG
rnacentral:rRNA from 1 species